rnacentral:rRNA from 1 species
UACGAGUGCCCCCAAGCGUUAUCCGGAAUUACUGGGUGUAAAGGUGCGUAGGCGGCGUUAUUAGUCUUUGUCAAAGCUCCGAGCUCAACUUGGAAAAGGCAGAAGAAACGGUAAUGCUAGAGAGUGUGAGAGGUUUGCGGAACUAAUGGUGUAGGGGUGAAAUCCGUUGAUAUCAUUGGGAACACCGAAGGCGAAGGCAGCAAACUGGCACAUUUCUGACGCUCAAGCACGAAAGCGUGGGUCGCGAAUGGGAUUAGAAACCCCCUGUAGU